rnacentral:rRNA from 1 species
UACGGGGGGAGCAAGCGUUGUUCGGAUUUACUGGGCGUAAAGGGCGCGUAGGCGGCCAGCACAAGUCAGUUGUGAAAUCUCCGAGCUUAACUCGGAAAGGUCAACUGAUACUGUGCGGCUAGAGUGCGGAAGGGGCAACUGGAAUUCUUGGUGUAGCGGUGAAAUGCGUAGAUAUCAAGAGGAACACCUGCGGCGAAGGCGGGUUGCUGGGCCGACACUGACGCUGAGGCGCGAAAGCCAGGGGAGCGUACGGG